rnacentral:rRNA from 1 species
AGAUGCUAAUACCGGAUAACAACACUAGACGCAUGUCUAGAGUUUGAAAGAUGGUUCUGCUAUCACUCUUGGAUGGACCUGCGGUGCAUUAGCUAGUUGGUAAGGUAACGGCUUACCAAGGCAAUGAUGCAUAGCCGAGUUGAGAGACUGAUCGGCCACAUUGGGACUGAGACACGGCCCAAACUCCUACGGGAGGCAGCAGUAGGGAAUCCUCCACAAUGGACGAAAGUCUGAUGGAGCAACGCCGCGUGAGUGAAGAAGGGUUUCGGCUCGUAAAGCUCUGUUGGUAGUGAAGAAAGAUAGAGGUAGUAACUGGCCUUUAUUUGACGGUAAUUACUUAGAAAGUCACGGCUAACUACGUGCCAGCAGCCGCGGUAAUACGUAGGUCCCGAGCGUUGUCCGGAUUUAUUGGGCGUAAAGCGAGCGCAGGCGGUUUAAUAAGUCUGAAGUUAAAGGCAGUGGCUUAACCAUUGUUCGCUUUGGAAACUGUUAAACUUGAGUGCAGAAGGGGAGAGUGGAAUUCCAUGUGUAGCGGUGAAAUGCGUA